CCUACGGGUGGCAGCAGUGAGGAAUAUUGGUCAAUGGGCGCGAGCCUGAACCAGCCAAGUAGCGUGAAGGAUGACUGCCCUACGGGUUGUAAACUUCUUUUAUAAAGGAAUAAAGUGAGGCACGUGUGCCUUUUUGUAUGUACUUUAUGAAUAAGGAUCGGCUAACUCCGUGCCAGCAGCCGCGGUAAUACGGAGGAUCAGAGCGUUAUCCGGAUUUAUUGGGUUUAAAGGGAGCGGAGAUGGGUUGUUAAGUCAGUUGUGAAAGUUUGGGGCUCAACCGUAAAAUUGCAAUUGAUACUGGCAGGCUAGAGUACAGUUGAGGUAGGCGGAAUUCGUGGUGUAGCGGUGAAAUGCGUAGAGAUCACGAAGAAUUCCGAUUGCGAAGGCAGCUUACUAAACAGCCACUAACGUUGAUGCGCGAAAGUGUGGGUAGCAAACAGGAUUAGAUACCCGAGUAGUC
rnacentral:rRNA from 1 species